ACGGCGAGUGAAGCGGCAAAAGCUCAAAUUUGAAAUCUAGUACCUUCGGUGCUCGAGUUGUAAUUUGGAGAUAGUUUUCUGGUGCUGGCCCUUGUCUAUGUUCCUUGGAACAGGACGUCAUAGAGGGUGAGAAUCCCGUCUGAUGGGGUGUCCAGUGCUUUGUAGAUUUCUAUCGAAGAGUCGAGUUGUUUGGGAAUGCAGCUCUAAGUGGGUGGUAAAUUCCAUCUAAAGCUAAAUAUUGGCGAGAGACCGAUAGCGAACAAGUACAGUGAUGGAAAGAUGAAAAGAACUUUGAAAAGAGAGUGAAAAAGUACGUGAAAUUGUUGAAAGGGAAGGAUAUUGGAUCAGACUUGGUGUUUUGUGAUUAUCUUCCCUUCUUGGGUUGUGCACUCGCAUUUCACUGGGCCAGCAUCGAUUCGGAUGGCAAGAUAAUGGCUUGGGAACGUGGCUCUCUUCGGGGAGUGUUAUAGCCC
rnacentral:rRNA from 1 species